AGUCCGGGUUCGAGUCCCGGGCAACCCA
rnacentral:tRNA from 1 species